rnacentral:tRNA from 1 species
GCAGCUCAGUGGUAGAGCAUCUGCUUUGCAUGCAGAAGAUCCCAGGUUCGAUCCCUGGCAUCUCCA